GCUUGGCUGUGGUGGGCGUGGCCUAAAUUGGAGUGGGAGGGGCCAAAAAUUUGGGAUAAAAAUGGGUAAAUUUGGGAAUUUCAGAACCAAAACAUCCUAAAAUAAGCAGCAUUCAAAUGUAGCCAGAAAGGGGCGUGGCCUCUCUAUUUCAGCCACCACUUAUUCCAUAUAUGGGCAUAAAGUGGGUGUGGUUUAUUCUUAAAGGGGCCUCGCCUCAUUUUAGUUUUUGCCAUUUUUUUAUUUUUCUUUUUCCAAUUUUUUCGGGAGUUUUCUGAUGUGGCUCGUCUGAGGUGGGCGUGGCUCGUCUGAGGUGGGCGUGGCUUGUCUGAAGUGGGCGUGGCCGAAAAUUGGGGAUUAAAAUGGGGAAAUUUUGGAUAUACACAGGGAAAAAACAUGACCUUAAAUGGGCGUGGCAAAAAGGGCGUGGCCUCACUUUCUCCACCAUGAUUUUUAUUCCAUAUAUGGGCAUCAGGUGGGUGUGGCUUGCUCUUAAAGGGGCCUCACUCCAUUUUAAUUUUUGCAAAGUUUUGAUUUAUUUUCCCCAAUUUUUUCAGGAGUUUCUUGGUGUGGCUCAAUCUGAGGUGGGCGUGGCCUAAAUUGAAGUGGGAGGGGCCAAAAAUUUGGGAUUAAAAUGGGAAAAUUUUGGAUAUACAGAGGGAAAAAACCCAUGACCUUGAAUGGGCGUGGCAAAAAGGGCGUGGCCUCAAUGUCUUCAACAUUUGUCUUAUUCCAUAUAUGGGCAUCAAGUGGGUGUGGCUUACUCUUAAAGGGGCCGCGCUCCAUUUUAAUUUUUGCAAAUUUUUGCUAAUUUUUCUCAAUUUUUUCAGGAUUUUUUGGGUGUGGCUCAUCUGAGGUGGGCGUGGCUUGUCUGAAGUGGGUGUGGCCUAAAUUGGAGUGGGAGGGGCCGAAAAUUGGGGAUUAAAAUGGGGAAAUUUGGGAAAUACACGGGGAAAAAACAUGACCUUAAAUGGGUGUGGCAAAAGGGGUGUGGCCUCAAUGUCUUCAACAUUAGUCUUAUUCCAUAUAUGGGCAUCAAGUGGGUGUGGCUUGCUCUUAAAGGGGCCUCGCUCCAUUUUAAUUUUUGCAAAUUUUUACUAAUUUUUCUCAAUUUUUUCAGGAUUUUUUGGGUGUGGCUGAUCUGAGGUGGGCGUGGCUUGUUGGCCACGCCCUCCCGGGCUGACCACGCCCAUUUUUAACCCCUCAGUGGCCAUGGCUUACUCGGAACUGGUCUCGUAUCAGCGACGUCACGACGUCAAUCCGCUCCGGGGCUUCCUGGUGCCCCUCGUGCAGACCCCCCUUUUUGUGCUGUUUUUCUUGGCCCUGCAGGGGAUGGGGGAGG